GACGAACGCUGGCGGCGCGCCUAACACAUGCAAGUCGAACGAGAAUCAGCUGAUGAAGUUUUCGAAUGGAUUCGGCUGAGGAAAGUGGCGAACGGGCGAGUAACGCGUGAGCAACCUACCUUGUACUGGGGGAUAACGUCGGGAAACCGGCGCUAAUACCGCAUAACAUUACGAUAGCGCAUGUUAUUGUAAUCAAAGCUUUAGUGGUACGAGACGGGCUCGCGUCCAAUUAGCUAGUUGGUGAGGUAAAGGCUCACCAAGGCGACGAUUGGUAGCCGAACUGAGAGGUUGAUCGGCCGCAUUGGGACUGAGACACGGCCCAGACUCCUACGGGAGGCAGCAGUGGGGAAUAUUGCGCAAUGGGGGAAACCCUGACGCAGCGACGCCGCGUGAAGGAAGAAGGCCUUCGGGUUGUAAACUUCUUUGAUCGGGGACGAAAAUGACGGUACCCGAGGAACAAGCCACGGCUAACUACGUGCCAGCAGCCCGCGGUAAUACGUAGGUGGCAAGCGUUGUCCGGAAUUACUGGGCGUAAGGGGCGUGUAGGCGGGGGGACAAGUCAGAUGUGAAAUACCCGCGGCUUAACUGCGGGGGUGCAUCUUGAAACUGG
rnacentral:rRNA from 1 species